rnacentral:rRNA from 1 species
UACGAAGGGGGCUAGCGUUGCUCGGAAUCACUGGGCGUAAAGCGCACGUAGGCGGAUUGUUAAGUCAGGGGUGAAAUCCUGGAGCUCAACUCCAGAACUGCCUUUGAUACUGGCGAUCUUGAGUCCGGGAGAGGUGAGUGGAACUGCGAGUGUAGAGGUGAAAUUCGUAGAUAUUCGCAAGAACACCAGCGGCGAAGGCGGGUACCUGGGCCAACACUGACGCUGAGGCGCGAAAGCUAGGGGAGCAAACAGG